UAAACUCCUGAUUUUGUGCCACUUCU
rnacentral:piRNA from 1 species